AUCCUUGCAUCGGGAGCGGGGAGCUUGCUCCCGCCGGCAGUGGGAAGUGAUAAUACAUCGGAACGUACCCAGUACGGGGGAUAGCCCGGCAAAGCCGGAUUAUACCGCAUACCCCUACGGGGGAAGGGGGGGAUCGCAAGACCUCUCACUAUUGGAGCGGCCGAUGGCUGAUUAGCUAGUUGGGGGGUAAGGCCUACCAGGCGACAUCAGUAGCUGGUGAAGGACACCACCCCUGGGACUGAACACGGCCCAACUCCUACGGGAGGCAGCAGGGGGAUUUUGGACAAUGGGCAAAGCCUGAUCCAGCAAUGCCGCGGUGCAAAAGGCCUUCGGGUUGUAAAGCUUUUGUCAGGGAAAAAUCUUUGGGUUAAUACCCCGAGCAGUGCGGUCCUGAAAAUAAGCCCGGCUAACUACGUGCCAGCACCGCGGUAAUACUAGGGUGCAAGCGUUAAUCGAAUUACUGGGCGAAAGCGUGCGAGGUGGUUUGUAAGACAGUUGUGAAAUCCCCGGCUUAACCUGGGAACUGCAAUUGUGACUGGCAGACUAGAGUGAGGCAGAGGGGGGCGAAUUCCUGGUGUAGCAGUGAAAUGCGUAAUAUCAGGAGGAACACCAUGGCGAAGGCAGCCCCCUGGGCCAUCACUGACACUCUGCACGAAAGCGGGGGAGCAAACAGGAUUAGAUACCCUGGUAGUCCACGCCCUAAACGAUGUCUAUUAGUUGUUGGGUCUUCAUUGACUUAUAACGAAGCUAACGCGUGAAAUAACCGCUGGGGGAGACGGCCGCAGGUUAAACUCAAGGAAUUGACGGGACCCGCACAAGCGGUGGAUGAUGUGGAUUAUUCAUGACGCGAAAAACCUUACCUACCUUGACAUGCUAGAAGUCCGCAAGAUGUGGAUGUUGCUCGAAAGAAUCUGGCGCUGCAUGGCCUGCCAGCUCGUGUCGAGAUGUGUAAGUCCCACGAGCCACCUUCAUUAGUUUGCUACGAAGCUCUAUGAGACUGCCACAACAUGGGAAUGACGCACAUCAUCAUAGUA
rnacentral:rRNA from 1 species